AUAUCUGUGUGCAUUGGCUGUUUGUUUCGUCCUUUUCAUUGUGGGUGUCAAUGCCUACGAAGAUGUGAGCUGUCUUCGUCUACUCUGUGCCGUAGGAUUAGGUAGAUGUUGAUUUUUGAUGGCUGUGUGCCGUUGGAUUAGGGUGGCAGUGGUUUUGAUGGGAUGGCCAACCCAACCCAACCCAACCCAACCCGGUCCCCCAGCAUUAUUGAAAAUAUCUCUCCCCCUAUUGCGGCUGCUAAAUUGGGCGACGAAUAAUUGUGCAAUGGAAUGAUCCCGGUGGCUGUGAUGGCGGAUCUGGUGGAGUACACGGUGGUGCUGUCUCGUUUGGUCGAGCGCAUGCUGCAGGAUGCUCAGCUGCUGCACUUUCUCAGACGAGAUGCACGUAAUGCCCCCCGUGCGGCCUCUACCCGUCCCGCCUCUGCAGUGGUGCUGGCUCCAUUCGCGUAGCCAGCUGCCGAGUAAUAUCUUCUUCGUGGUUUCACGUUUUUUUUUGUUAUGUGUGUGUUCUUGGAUUUGCGUUUUGUGUCUAUAUGCAAUGUUUGUUACAUGUUACCCUUUUAAAACAAGAGUUCAUGAAGGUUCGAAAA